rnacentral:rRNA from 1 species
GACGAACGCUGGAGGCGUGCUUAACACAUGCAAGUCGAACGAUGAAAUGGAGCUUGCUCCAUGGAUUAGUGGCGAACGGGUGAGUAACACGUGAAUAACCUGCCCUUAAUUUUGGAAUAACCCAGGGAAACCUGGGCUAAUACCGGAUAAGUAAACCUGUGGCAUCACAUGGUUUUGGAAAGUUUUUCGAUUAAGGAUGGAUUCGCGGCCUAUCAGCUUGUUGGUGAGGUAAUGGCUCACCAAGGCGACGACGGGUAACCGGCCUGAGAGGGUGAACGGCCACACUGGGACUGAGACACGGCCCAGACUCCUACGGGAGGCAGCAGUGGGGAAUAUUGCGCAAUGGACGAAAGUCUGACGCAGCGACGCCUCGUGAGGGACGAAGGUCUUCGGAUUGUAAACCUCUUUCAGCAGGGACGAAGCGAAAGUGACGGUACCUGCAGAAGAAGCACCGGCUAACUAUGUGCCAGCCGCCGCGGUAA